UCCCUCUCCCCUCUGGCUCCCAGCCAGAGGACUUUCUUCCCAAGAGGAGCAGCACUUCAGCAUCAUUCAUACUGACACCAGCUACUUGUUUCUGAGGCUAAGUAUCAGAUGCGAUUCCUCCCGUGAUCUCAGUGAUUGUAUCAGGCGAAAACGAGGAGGGCAAAAUACCGUCCAGAUGUAAACUAGGAGCAGCCGCACCAGCAGCACCAGCAGAAUGCCGUGGUAGUGCGGCAGGCCCUGGCCCCAUGGACAAAGAGAAACUCGUCAGUGGCAGUGGCCACGAACUCAGAAAGCCUGAGGACAGUCAGCAGCUCCUCUGGCUCUUCACUUUCACACUGGUGCAACUACAGGAGCUGAAGAACAUUUUUCAACUCGUUCCAUACCCGGACGUGUUAGAUGGAGUCUCCCUCUGUCGCCCAGGCUGGAGUGCAGUGGCGCGAUCUCGGCUCACUGCAACCUCCACCUCCCGGUUUUAUGCGAUUCUCCUGCCUCAGCCUCCCGAGUAGCUGGGACUACAGUGGCCUCAGGGAUAUGGAAUUAAGAUCCACCUGGUGUGAUGAAUAAACCCAGACUCUCAGCAACGCAGGAAAAAAAAAACAAAAACUGGCUGGCGAUCUGGAGUAAAGGAUCCUCACAUCCACGUGAACCAGGAAACUCUGUGCCCAAAUCGACGAAAAAAAAACACUGGGAGAGCCGAACUAAAAGUCUUUUAGCACGGGUACCAGCCCUAGAAUUUCCAGUACACCAGCAGCAGCCUGGAAACCACAUCCUCAUCAAAAGACAGAAAGAAAAAAACUCGAGCCAGCCUGAGAAGGACCCUAUUUUAUGCUGUUAACCACUGAGACUGCCAUCCUCACAGCUGAGAAAGGAUGGACCCACCAUACUCAAGUCAAGAAAACAUCUUCCUCGUCAGAAUCAUGGGUUACUGUACUAGGAUUAAGCCUUACUAAGUUAAAGUUAAAGAAAGCUUAAUUUUCAUAUACCUUCUAUAUUGCUUCUUUUCCUUUCCUUAUUCUGUUACUAGCUCCUUUGUUAUUAAUGUAACUAAGUCUGAGUCACCUCAGACCAUUGCCUUUUAUGCUUGCUCUGUCAUACCUUGUGGAAAUGUAAAAGAUCAAUGACAGCUAGCCUUUUCACACAAUUAUUUAUGCCUCGGCCCUCUAAUUGACACAGUUACCCCUAGCACUCAUCGUUGUGAUCACCUGCAGCCAAGACGCUGAUUUUCUGCUCCUAUAGCCUGGCAACCUUGUGGUACAUGGGACUACGUCCUUUAAACUACCCAGGAGCAAAGUUGGACUUCCAUGAAAAAGGUUUGUGCAGAUCUAAAACCUCUCAUCUAUUUCACUAAAAGGACUUCCCCUUCUAACUGUCACCCUUACCAAUGUAACCCUGUCCUCUCUAUCACCACCUCCACCUGUCUUUAACUAACUCUAGACCUGUCCUUAAUUGCUUUUAUGGUAUUGGAAUAGGAAUUAAAAGAAAUUAAAGAAUGUGUAAGGAGAAACUCAGUUGUAUGUAAGAAAACCCAAUUCCCCCUGAGAAAGAGAAAGAGUUGGAGUCCUUUAAAAAUUAACUGCCUGUUUUUCUGUGGCUAGUGAGCCUUAUCUCUCCUCCUUUCCCAGACAUUGUGAAGACCCUGUUUCUCUAGCUGUGCAGCUGCAAGGUCACUAGACAGAUAAACUCAAGUUGUAAAACAUGUUUUUCCUUGAAAAGUAAGAAAUGCUGUAAUGCAUUUCUCAAUUAAUUAAAUAACUGUCUUUGUUUCUCGCUUCUGUAAUAUGCUUCCCCCUGCACAGAUCUCCACCCACCCUACAAAAUGCUUAAAAGGUAACUUAACUCUUUGUUCUGGGCUCAGUCCUUUGGGCUGAGUACUGGGCCGGUGCACCUAAAUAAUAAAUAUCUUCCUGAACCCCAUUUGUCUCUCUGAUUCCUUAAAAAAUCCCGCAACAUUUCUGGGGACUCGCCUGGGAUUGGAGACGACAGAUUUACUGUCUCCUUUGCCUGUGGGGACUAGAGCCCAAGGACCGGGGGAGACCCGGCAUCCAAGGUGUAUCACAGGGGAGCUUCACCCAGACAGAGAUAGGCUCUCCCCGCAUCCCAGUGGCCUGCCCAGCAGUGCAAUGGAACCGGGGAUGGGGCUGCAGGAAG
rnacentral:lncRNA from 1 species